rnacentral:rRNA from 1 species
AUUGAACGCUGGCGGCAGGCCUAACACAUGCAAGUCGAGCGAGCGGCGGACGGGUGAGUAAUGUAUGGGGACCUGCCCGAUAGAGGGGGAUAACUACUGGAAACGGUGGCUAAUACCGCAUACUAUUGGAACAACCCAUAUGGGAUUAGCUAGUCGGUGGGGUAAAGGCUCACCAAGGCGACGAUCUCUAGCUGGUCUGAGAGGAUGAUCAUCCACACUGGGACUGAGACACGGCCCAGACUCCUACGGGAGGCAGCAGUGGGGAAUUUUGCACAAUGGGCGCAAGCCUGAUGCAGCCAUGCCGCGUGUAUGAAGAAGGCCUUAGGGUUGUAAAGUACUUUCAGCGGAGAAGCGUUACCCGCAGAAUAAGCACCGGCUAACUCCGUGCCAGCAGCCGCGGUAAUUC